rnacentral:rRNA from 1 species
UACGUAGGGGGGCAAGCGUUGUCCGGAAUUAUUGGGCGUAAAGCGCGCGCAGGCGGUCAUUUAAGUCUGGUGUUUAAGCCCGGGGCUCAACCCCGGUUCGCAUCGGAAACUGGAUGACUUGAGUGUAGGAGAGGAAAGUGGAAUUCCACGUGUAGCGGUGAAAUGCGUAGAGAUGUGGAGGAACACCAGUGGCGAAGGCGGGUCCCUGGACAACACCUGACACUGAGGCACGAAAGCUAGGGGAGCAAACAGG